rnacentral:lncRNA from 1 species
GGGAAGAGGCUCAGAACACUGAGAGAACAGGUGUGGAAGACCAGGGAUGAGGAACGGACUGGGAACAGAAGGACACCCGGUCUGGAUGUCCACUUAUCUCAAGGGACAGGGCCAACCUGCAAUGCCUCUCACCUCUCACUNGUAGGGUCCGAGCAGUUCAAUGGGUACUUAAGGUGGAUGAUGGUGCCAUCUCGGUCCUGCAGGAUGCCCUGCUGCUGCGUGUAAUACUCGACCAGCUCUGUCAGCGUCGCAAACUUCUCCCCUCCGUACAGGUCAUAGAAGUCCCCUGAGUUCUGGAUCCGAAUAUGAGUCACCUGAUCAUCCACCCUGCAAGGUACCACCAGAUGACAUCUUGCUGUAUGUGGCCAGGCUAGCCUCAAACUCAAGAUCCUCCUACCUCGGCCUCUCCUGUCAUCCUACACCACCCUUCCCAGCUGAGACAACUGUAUCACUGUUAUUGUAGCAUGACAAUCUUGUUUACUUGUGAUGUGACGAUCCCAAGUUUAGAAACAAAAGUGAAAACUGAAGGCUCGUUCAGUAACUUGCCCACAGUCACGAGGUUCCAGUGAGUGGGAAGGUGAAAAAAAACCCAAAGCUGUCUGAGGCCAGAGAUCUGUUUGCCACAGCCAACUGCACCAUCAGGCUUUAAGGAGCUGCCGGGUACAGAAAAGCCUGGAGAUGGAGACGGAGAGGAUACAGGUCACCCCCCACGGGCAGAUGGACCAGGACACAGAGGUGCCAUGGAAACCAUGCACUUGGGUUGUUCGGUGUAAGCAGAGCAAAGCAGCUGAACCAAAGCAUGCAGGGGCUGGACCCCCCCAAAUAGAGGUCUUCCAAGUCCACGUUAAAAAACCAAGAAGGGUUCUAUAAUGGGAGAUUCCUUGUCAAGGCAGAUGGGAAGCCUCAGCACCACCCCCAGGCCGGCAGGGACAAGAUACACACUGGAGGAAGAGUGUACACAGAAAGAAUCGAAUGAGUAUGAAAAGCCAAACUCAGCAGGACCCCUGUACAGACCACCCACAGAGUCACCAGAACUCUCUGAGUGGGCUUUCACUACCCAAACCCCACCGGAAGUCUAAGGUGCCCAUGGCUUUCUUCUUGGGUGAACACACUGUCCUUUGCCCAUUUGUCCCCAGACAUCACUCUGCUUAGCUCAAACGCCACCUCAUCUGGAAGUUCUCCCUGUCAGCCAAUUAUGUCUCCAGAAUACAUCACUUGCUGCUUCUUUUCCUGCGUGUUAGUUAGUUAGUGCUUCGGCCAUCUGAAAUAAUCCUAGUUAUUGCCUGUGUAUUCACUCGGUCAUCUCUGGCUGGAAUGCCUGCUCUCUAAACAGAGAUCAUGUCUGCCUCAUAUAGGUUCAUAUUACCAACAAACAUCUUCAUCAGUACCUGUC